UACGUAGGGUGCAAGCGUUGUCCGGAAUUAUUGGGCGUAAAGGGCUCGUAGGCGGUCUGUCACGUCGGGAGUGAAAACUCGGGGGCUUAACCCCGAGCCUGCUUCCGAUACGGGCAGACUAGAGGUAUGCAGGGGAGAAUGGAAUUCCUGGUGUAGCGGUGAAAAUGCGCAGAUAUCAGGAGGAACACCGGUGGCGAAGGCGGUUCUCUGGGCAUUACCUGACGCUGAGGAGCGAAAAGUGUGGGGGAGCGAACAGG
rnacentral:rRNA from 1 species